AAACUACUCGCCAGAAUACUACGAGCUACAGCUUAAAACUCAAAGGACUUGACGGUGCUUUACACCCCCUAGAGGAGCCUGUUCCGUAAUCGAUAAACCCCGAUCCACCCCACCCUCUCUUGCUCAGCCUAUAUACCGCCAUCUUCAGCAAACCCUAAUGAAGGUCACAAAGUGAGCGCAAACGCCAUCACCGCGAGUACGUUAGGUCAAGGUGUAGCCUAUGAGAUGGUAAAAAAUGGGCUACAUUUUCUACCUCAGAAAAUUCCACGAAAACCCUUAUGAAAUUUAAGGGCCCAAGGAGGAUUUAGCAGUAAAU
rnacentral:rRNA from 1 species